AGUGAACGCUGGCGGUAGGCCUAACACAUGCAAGUCGAACGGCAGCACAGUAAGAGCUUGCUCUUACGGGUGGCGAGUGGCGGACGGGUGAGGAAUAAAUCGGAAUCUACUUUUUCGUGGGGGAUAACGUAGGGAAACUUACGCUAAUACCGCAUACGACAUACGGGUGAAAGCAGGGGAUCUUCGGACCUUGCGCGAUUGAUUGAGCCGAUGUCGGAUUAGCUAGUUGGCGGGGUAAAGGCCCACCAAGGCGACGAUCCGUAGCUGGUCUGAGAGGAUGAUCAGCCACACUGGAACUGAGACACGGUCCAGACUCCUACGGGAGGCAGCAGUGGGGAAUAUUGGACAAUGGGCGCAAGCCUGAUCCAGCCAUACCGCGUGGGUGAAGAAGGCCUUCGGGUUGUAAAGCCCUUUUGUUGGGAAAGAAAAGCAGCAGGUUAAUACCCCGCUGUUCUGACGGUACCCAAGGAAUAAGCACCGGCUAACUUCGUG
rnacentral:rRNA from 1 species